AUUGAACGCUAGCGGCAGGCUUACCACAUGCAAGUCGAACGAGCGGCGGACGGGUGAGUAAUGCUUGGGAAUCUGGCAGAUGGAGGGGGAUAACGACGGGAAACUGUCGCUAAUACCGCGUAGCAUAGGAUGAGCCCAAGUGGGAUUAGCUAUUAGGUGGGGUAACGGCUUACCUAGGCGACAAUCCCUAGCUGGUCUGAGAGGAUGACCAGCCCCACUCGAACGGUGACACGUGGCUGACUCCUACGGGCAGCAGCAUUGGGAAAUAUGUCACAAUGGGCGCCAUCUGAUUCAGCCAUGCCGCGGGAAUUAAGAAGGUCUUCGUGUUGUAAAGUUCUGUCGGUUACGAGGCAUUAAUCACAGGAUAAGCACCUGCUCACUCCGUGCCAGCAGCCGCGGUAAUAC
rnacentral:rRNA from 1 species